UUCUGCUCCUGCCUCUCUUCUCUUUCUUUCAACAGAUGAGUCGAUGACAUCAUAACUGAAAUCUCACAGAGAUCUCUUUAAUCAUCGAUCUAUGUAAAUGUUCAUCGAUCACUUCUAUAAGUUUUUCGAUUUUAUGGUUUCUAAGUUUUUCAAUCGUCUGGUUUUUCUUAUCUUCACUCUCAACUGAAGAUUUCAGUUCUUCAAUCAUCUGUUAAGCAUCAUCAUCAUAAAUUUAGGUUUUCGAUUUCAGUUUCAUCAUCAUCAGUUUUAGGUUUUAUCUAAUUUUUAUCUAACCAUCUGAUCUUUGAAGAAAUGAUCUUCAAUCAUCUGUUAAGCGAGUUUAGGGUUUCGAUUUCGCAGAUCUAUGUAAGUUUUUAUCAUCUGUAAGAUUUCAGUUUUUUUAUCGAUUUUGAGGUUUCAGUUUGGUUAAUCAAAUUUUAGGGGUUCAGUAUUUCAAUCGAUUUUAGGGUUUAUUGUUACUCGUUUUUGAUUUUCAAUUCUCUAACUUUCUCUCUAUCUGCUUUCUUGAACUGCCGCUCCGUCGAUGAUAUUAUGAGGAUUUGAUUUGGGGGUUUUGUUGGGGUUUCACCAAAUGGAUGUAACUUUCAGGUGAAUGAAAUGUCUGGACAUCGAAGAUGGCAGAGAUGUUGAUCUCAAAGGGUGUCCCAGAGCCAAGCUUCAACAACAAUGCAAUCUCAUGUUGCAGGAAAACUUGUUGCAGAGACUUGCUUAUAUUAUUCUUGCAUUCUCUUUUCCAAAUUGUUCAACGUGCAGAUGAAAGCAGGGAUGAAGUCUUUCCAUAUAUCUGAACAGAUUGUAUUUUGGGAGUGGAUAUCAGCAACAAUGUUAGGCAUUGCCAUAGAAAAUUCGGUAUAUCAUUGGUCAAUUGAGGGUGAAUCAGAUCAUGUAAAGAUGUUUGAUAGAUUUCCUAAUUAGCAAGUAAUCAAAUAAUCAACUACAGAUGUGAUCCUUCUAGAAUGGCACCCAUCACAUGAGAACGCGCUACCUGUUAAAGUCAAUAUGCAUCUUUUCACUGUGGAACAUCAAGGAAGUCAAUCACUGAAAGUGCAUGGUGCAUCAUUUUGAGUCUUACAAAAUUCCCUGGCUUCCUUGUAUAGAAGAUGGAAAUGAAAUCUUGAGUCUGAAGUAACUAUAUUUGUGGAAUAUCCUGACAUGAAAUAGUUUUGCUUUGUGUUUCUUUCAAUUUCAGUCUCAUCCUACUUUUAUUUGUGUUUGCUGCUUAUAUGGUUGAAAAGCUAGCUCAAAAUAAGCUUGUUUCAGAACCAGUUUAACACUAAUGCUUUUUGCUAGUGUUGGGUGGCUGAAGCUGGUGUCAUAUGCACAUACAAACUACGAUGUGCGAGCGCUUUCCAAGUCUAGGGACAAGUAUAUCAAUCCAAGUGUCCAAGACUCUCAACAUCUGAAGGGGGAUCUCUUAUAUGCUGUAGAGAGGGUGUUGAAGCUAUCAGUUCCGACUUAGUAUGUGUGGCUCUGUAUGUUUACUGUUUCUUCCACUUGUGGUACCAACUCACUUCCUCUAGGUGCAGGUUAGGCGAAAUGUUUCAGAUUCGAGAGCGAAAGACAGCAAAAGACUAAGCAAGAGAAGGCAGAGACUGUUAUAUGAGUUCUGUGCUUGUUUUAUUCUUAUAUGCUCUUAGUUGUAAACAAUUGUUGUAUGUGCUUUAUGCCGCACAUAACUUAGGAAUUCUCUGAAGUUUCUAAGCAGAUGUUGUGUUCCUCAAAACUUAGGAAUUCUGUUAAGUAGUUGUUGAAAGAAUACAACAAGUUGUUGUUGACACCAUCUAUUCCCUUAGAAAUUUGAUACUUGACAAAAAAAAAAAGUUUGGUACUUAGAUAAAUUUCA